GGCUCUGUGGCUCAGUUGGUAGAGCAUGGUGUUUGCAACGCCAGCAUGGUGUGUGCAACGCCAGGGUUGUGGGUUCGAUUCCCACGGGGGGCCA
rnacentral:tRNA from 1 species